AUGCCGCAGGUUGGGCUUUCAAAAACUUUACCGGCCCGAUCCAAAAUUCUUGGCAGGACGAUGAGGCGGACCACGGCGUUGCUGCUGCGCCACGGCGGCGGCGGGAUCCCGCAGGCGCUCGCCGACGUGCUCGUCUGCCCCCUGUCCAAGAAGCCUCUCAGGUAUUGCGAGGCCAGCGGCUCUCUGGUCAGCGACGCCGUCGGCAUGUCCUUCCCGAUAGUAGAUGGAAUUCCUUGCUCCUUCCGAAAGACGGGAAGUUGCUCGAAGACCACCAGAGGGAAUCAGGACAUGAGACCAGCUCUAGGGAUUCCUCUGAUUGAAUCCACGUUGUUGUACAAGCCGGUAACAUCGUUCUGUAUUUAA
rnacentral:rRNA from 1 species